rnacentral:tRNA from 1 species
UCCAUGGUGGCUCAGAUGGUAAAGAAUCUGCCUGCAAUGCAGAAGACCCAGGUUCGAUCCCUGGGUUGGGAA